CCUACGGGAGGCAGCAGUGAGGAAUAUUGGUCAAUGGGCGUAAGCCUGAACCAGCCAAGUCGCGUGAGGGAUGAAGGUUCUAUGGAUCGUAAACCUCUUUUAUAAGGGAAUAAAGUGCGGGACGUGUCCCGUUUUGUAUGUACCUUAUGAAUCAGGAUCGGCUAACUCCGUGCCAGCAGCCGCGGUUACACGGAGGAUCCGAGCGUUAUCCGGAUUUAUUGGGUUUAAAGGGUGCGUAGGCGGGCUUUUAAGUCAGCUGUGAAAUUCGAUGGCUCAACCAUAGAAUUGCAGUUGAACCUGGGAGGCUUGAGUAUGUUUGAGGCAGGCGGAAUGCGUGGUGUAGGGGUGAAAUGCGUAGAGAGCACGCAGAA
rnacentral:rRNA from 1 species